CCAAUAGCGUAUAUUAAAGUUGUUGCAGUUAAAAAGCUCGUAGUUGAAUUUCGGAAUCAAUGGAUCGGUCAUGCCAAUCGGUGUGUACUGGUUUAAUUGGUUCUCACCUUCUAAGGAACUGUGAUGCCAUUAAUUUGGUGUCGUAGGAAAUUAGGACUGUUACCUUGAAAAAAUUAGAGUGUUUAAAGCAAGCUUACGCUUGAAUACAUUAGCAUGGAAU
rnacentral:rRNA from 1 species